rnacentral:rRNA from 1 species
AUUGAACGCUGGCGGCAGGCUUAACACAUGCAAGUCGAGCGAGCGGCGGACGGGUGAGUAAUGUCUGGGAAACUGCCUGAUGGAGGGGGAUAACUACUGGAAACGGUAGCUAAUACCGCAUACCAUCAGAUGUGCCCAGAUGGGAUUAGCGAGUAGGUGGGGUAAUGGCUCACCUAGGCGACGCUCCCUAGCUGGUCUGAGAGGAUGACCAGCCACACUGGAACUGAGAAACGGGUCAGACUCCUACGGGGGGCAGCAGGGGGGAAUAUUGCACAAUGGGCGCAAGCCUGAAGCAGCCAAGCCGCGUGUGGGGAGGAGGCCUUCGGGUUGGAAAGCACUUUCAGCGAGGAGGCGUUACUCGCAGAAGAAGCACCGGCUAACUCCGUGCCAGCCGCCGCGGUAAUAC